UGGGGAAUAUUGGACAAUGGGCGAAAGCCUGAUCCAGCCAUGCCGCGUGUGUGAAGAAGGUCUUCGGAUUGUAAAGCACUUUAAGUUGGGAGGAAGGGCAUUAACCUAAUACGUUAGUGUUUUGACGUUACCGACAGAAUAAGCACAGGCUAACUCUGUGCCAGCAGCCGCGGUAAUACAGAGGGUGCAAGCGUUAAUCGGAAUUACUGGGCGUAAAGCGCGCGUAGGUGGUUUGUUAAGUUGGAUGUGAAAUCCCCGGGCUCAACCUGGGAACUGCAUUCAAAACUGACUGACUAGAGUAUGGUAGAGGGUGGUGGAAUUUCCUGUGUAGCGGUGAAAUGCGUAGAUAUAGGAAGGAACACCAGUGGCGAAGGCGACCACCUGGACUAAUACUGACACUGAGGUGCGAAAGCGUGGGGAGCAAACA
rnacentral:rRNA from 1 species